UACGGGGGGAGCAAGCGUUGUUCGGAUUUACUGGGCGUAAAGGGCGCGUAGGCGGCCUGUGCGAGUCAGUUGUGAAAUCUCCGGGCUUAACUCGGAACGGUCAACUGAUACUGCUCGGCUAGAGUGCGGAAGGGGCAACUGGAAUUCUUGGUGUAGCGGUGAAAUGCGUAGAUAUCAAGAGGAACACCUGCGGCGAAGGCGGGUUGCUGGGCCGACACUGACGCUGAAGUGCGAAAGCUAGGGGAGCGAACGGG
rnacentral:rRNA from 1 species